rnacentral:rRNA from 1 species
UACGGAGGGUGCAAGCGUUAUCCGGAUUCACUGGGUUUAAAGGGAGCGCAGGCGGAUUUGUAAGUCAGUGGUGAAAGGCUUAAGCUUAACUUGGGACUGCCAUUGAUACUAUAAGUCUUGAAUGUUGUUGAGGUUUGCGGAAUGGGAUCGUAUAGCGGUGAAAUGCAUAGAUAUGACCCGGAACACCUAUUGCGAAGGCAGCAGGCUAAACAAAUAUUGACGCUGAGGCUCGAAAGCGUGGGGAUCAAACAGG